rnacentral:rRNA from 1 species
UACGUAGGGGGCUAGCGUUGUCCGGAAUCAUUGGGCGUAAAGAGCGUGUAGGCGGUCCGGUAAGUCCGUUGUGAAAGUCAGGGGCUCAACCCUUGAAUGCCGGCGGAUACUGUCGGGCUAGAGUCCGGAAGAGGCAAGUGGAAUUCCCGGUGUAGCGGUGAAAUGCGCAGAUAUCAGGAGGAACACCGGUGGCGAAGGCGGGUCUCUGGGCCGAUACUGACGCUGAGGAGCGAAAGCGUGGGGAGCAAACAGG